rnacentral:rRNA from 1 species
GACGAACGCUGGCGGCGUGCUUAACACAUGCAAGUCGAACGGGCAGACAGAGAGCUUGCUCUCUUGAAGUUAGUGGCGAACGGGUGAGUAACGCGUAAUCAACCUGCCCUUCAGAGGGGGAUAACAACGGGAAACCGUUGCUAAUACCGCGUACGAUUAAUGAACGGCAUCGUUUAUGAAUGAAAGGUGGCCUCUAUGUAUAAGCUAUCGCUGAAGGAGGGGAUUGCGUCUGAUUAGCUAGUUGGAGGGGUAACGGCCCACCAAGGCAAUGAACGGGAGCCGUUCUUGUAGGAUGAAAGGACACAUGGGGACUGAGACACGGCCCAAACUCCUAAGGGAGGCAGCAGUGGGGAAUCUUCCGCAAUGGACGAAAGUCUGACGGAGCAACGCCGGGUGAGUGAUGAAGGCCUUCGGAUUGUAAAGCUCUGUUAAUCGGGACGAAAGAGUUCUGCGUGAAUAAUGCAGAAAAGUGACGGUACCGGAAUAGAAAGCCACGGCUAACUACGUGCCAGCCGCCGCCGUAA